rnacentral:tRNA from 1 species
UCCCUGGUAGCUCAGACGGUAAAGCAUCUGCCUGCAAUGUGGGAGACCUGGGUUCAAUCCCCAGGUUGGGAA